GUCGACCCGCCACAGAAAAAUACACGCAUUGUCAUUUAAAACGUGACGACGCGCACACGGCACCCACAUACUACCUCACUAUAUUCAUUCUCGAUGUUUUGUGAUGUAAAUAUAUUGGAUUGAGUGAUAAUGCUGAUAAAGUGAUUGUUCAGUGCCUAAUCUUUAGUGCUGGUGUUAAAAAACAAAACAAUGAACGAACAGGAUCUCAUCGUGGCCCGCGCGCUAGCGGCGGAGUCACGUGACAACUCUCCUGGCGGAUCUCCAGGACCUCUUAGAAAAACUGCUCUCUCCAAAGUAGCUGAUAGAUUACAGACAUUCAGGCGGACUAGGUCCCUGAACGCCCCCUCGCCUAUACAACAGUUCGGACCAUGUGGCAGAAUAAUGAAAAAUUCCGCUAUGGUUAUGCAAAUCCAGGACCCAGCGUCGCAAAGGCUGACUUGGUACAAACCGCCGCUGACGGUGUUGGUCAUCAAGAAAGUGCACGACGCUACCAUCCUAGCACCUUUCGUACAACUCGUACAUUGGCUAGUGCAUGACAAAAGCAUGGUGGUGUUUGUGGAGGCGGCGGUGUUGGACGACACGCUGGUGGCGCAGUACGGCGAGUUCGCGGCCGUGCGCGAGCGCCUGAUGACCUUCCGCGCCGGCACCGACGACCUCACUGACAAGAUCGACUUCAUCAUCUGCCUCGGAGGUGACGGCACGCUGCUGCACGCCAGCUCGCUGUUUCAGCAAUCAGUCCCGCCGGUGAUGGCAUUCCAUUUAGGUUCAUUAGGUUUCCUCACGCCCUUCGAGUUUAACAACUUCCAGGAACAAGUUAUGAACGUAUUAGAAGGUCACGCAGCAUUAACGCUGCGGUCGCGUCUUCAAUGCGUGGUGCUGCGCAAGUGCCAGGACGACACCAAGGAGAAGAAGAAGCCCACCACCAUACUGGUGUUGAACGAGGUGGUGGUGGACCGAGGACCCUCGCCGUACCUGUCCAACAUUGACUUGUUUCUGGACGGCAAACAUAUUACCUCCGUGCAAGGAGACGGUCUUAUCGUGUCGACGCCGACGGGCAGCACUGCGUACGCGGUGGCGGCGGGCGCCAGCAUGAUCCACCCGUCCGUGCCCGCCAUCAUGGUGACGCCCAUCUGUCCGCACUCGCUCUCCUUCCGGCCCAUCGUGGUGCCCGCCGGCGUCGAGCUGAAGAUCGCACUAUCGCCGGACGCGCGUAACGCUAUGUGGGUAUCGUUCGACGGACGCAACAGACAGGCGUUACAGCACGGAGAUAGAUAACGCCUAGUAUAGAGGCGCGUAACGUGGCGAGUGUCUCCUUCGACGGUCGCUCGCAGUUGACGCUCAGGCCGGGCGAUAGUCUAUACGUAACGACGUCUGUAUACCCGGUGCCGUCGAUUUGCGCGCAGGACCAGAUAUCGGACUGGUUCGACUCACUCGCCGAGUGUCUGCAUUGGAACGUGCGCAAGAAGCAGAAACAGAUCGACGAGAUGAGCGACAUGACCCACUCGUCCAG
rnacentral:misc_RNA from 1 species